UACGUAGGGUGCGAGCGUUAAUCGGAAUUACUGGGCGUAAAGGGUGCGCAGGUGGUUAUUUAAGACAGAUGUGAAAUCCCCGGGCUCAACCUGGGAACUGCGUUUGUGACUGAAUAGCUAGAGUGCGGCAGAGGGGGGUAGAAUUCCACGUGUAGCAGUGAAAUGCGUAGAGAUGUGGAGGAAUACCGAUGGCGAAGGCAGCCCCCUGGGUCAGCACUGACGCUCAUGCACGAAAGCGUGGGGAGCAAACAGG
rnacentral:rRNA from 1 species